AAGAGGCCUUUCUCUAAUAUUUAUGCCACAAACUGGCUAGUAAGAUUAUUUAUUUCCGGUCAACGCCAUUUUCGAACGCCUUGUGGACUUCUUCUGCUGCUAGCAAAAAUUAUUCGGAGCUGUAAUCGGAGACUUUGGCCAAUACAUAACUGUUUAUUUAUUAUUUCGUCAGCUCUUCAAAGGAAACCAGGAUCCGUCGAGAUGGGAGAACCUGCUCAUCUCAGAGAUUGUCCUCUGGAUUGCAAGGUGUAUGUAGGGAAUUUGGGCAACAGUGGAAACAAGACUGAGUUGGAGAGGGCGUUUGGGUACUAUGGCCCUUUGCGGAGUGUGUGGGUGGCCAGGAACCCCCCAGGCUUUGCCUUUGUCGAGUUUGAGGAUCCCAGAGAUGCAACUGAUGCUGUGAGAGAACUGGAUGGACGGACGCUGUGUGGCUGCAGAGUGAGAGUUGAAUUGUCCAAUGGGGAGAAACGCUCGAGGAGCCGUGGACCUCCUCCCUCCUGGAGCCGUCGCACUGGACGUGAAGACUACAGCAGCAGGCGCCGUGGGAGCCCGCCUGUCAGACGCCGAGUCAUCACCAUCCCUCUUCUCACCACCCUCUCAGACAGUCAACUAGUCCUCUUACAGCAUCAUGUGACCACUGACCAGCGCCAGCACCGUGCCCCACCCAAUCAGCUUGGCUGGUGCCGUGUCACAUGACCCAGGCAUGGCCAGUCAUGUUCCAGCCUAUUGGUUCCUGAGCAUGCAGCUCUCAGCCUCCUCCAACCUUAACCCGAUCGGCAUCGUCGCAGCCCACCUCACAAUUCCGACCAAUCAGCGAUUUUAACUCCAUUCCCCAAUUAUCAACACAACUACCUACAAGCAGCACAGCAGCCCUCGGCUAACCCCAAAAAGACAGGGAAAAUCUACAACUACUGUACCCCCUCCAGCCAACCAACUUCAUAUCUCCAACACUUGCAACUUGUGGCAAAUCCUCUCUGCAAAUUCUACCUCCCUCGCCAUCAGUCUGGCUUCCUUGCGUCAUUUCUAUCUUGUGUCCAAACCUGAAAAAAUAGUAAGUUCCUUUUCUCCUGCUUUUUGUAGUGUCAUGCUUACCACAGGUUUGGUUUUACAGCUGCUUGAUGGUAUGAAAUUGGCGGUCAUGGAAAUUGUCAUUUGAAUUUAGUUUCAAACAUCAACUUGUGAGUACAAUAAUAAGAAUCUUGAAUCCCCCUCCCAUAGAUCAUAAAUGAAAAGCUUUUAUCCUUAAACUCAAAAGUUCUGUGGUCUUGGAGCUGCCCUGGUUAGCAUGAACUGUGAGGUCCAAUAUUGGUAAUGUGCCCUAUGUCCAUCUAUGCAACAAAACAGUACAGUAUGUAGCUUAAGUCUGCAUACCUGUACUUAAAAAUGUUCUCUCUAAUUCAUUCUCACUUGGUUUUAUAAGAGGUCUCAUUUUGACCUCAGUUGGUUGUCCAAGCAUUCUGUCCUCUAGCAGGGGUGCAGAGAGGAUGUCCUAUUCUGAUCUGUCUGCAGAAAGAGGAAGGCUGUGUCGUAUUGUUAAAUGAUUGGGAUGGUGUUUCUUCAGGGAUAAGGAAUGCCAUAUUUGAUUGGAGGUGAUGCCUUCAUGCACUGUAUUAAAUGUUUUUCCUGCUCCAUCCACCUCCAGCUCUCCUAGGAGGAGGAGCUUCAGCCGCAGUCGCAGCAGGUCUCUGUCAAGAGACCGAAGAAGAGAGAGGUCUAUCUCCAGAGACAGGAACCAUAAACCUUCAAGAUCCUUCUCAAGGUCUCGGAG